UUCUACGGCCAUGCCACCCUGAACACGCCAAAUCCCGUCUGAUCUCAGAAGCUAAGCAAGGUCGAGCUUGGUUAGUACUUGGAUGGGAGACCACCUAUGAAGACCAGGUGCUGUAGGCA
rnacentral:rRNA from 1 species